AACUAAAAAUUCUCCGUGUCUUGAUUUCGUGAUAACCAGGGCAGGAGAGACAUUCACUUUAUGAAGAUAAUGAAUGUGUCCCCAGGUCUAGUGCCUUCCCUAAGUCUGGCUUUAAAAAUGCUGGUGAUACAC
ensembl:snoRNA SNORA72 Small nucleolar RNA SNORA72